rnacentral:rRNA from 1 species
UUUUAUGGAGAGUUUGAUCCUGGCUCAGGAUGAACGCUGGCGGCGUGCCUAAUACAUGCAAGUCGAGCGAACGGACGAGAAGCUUGCUUCUCUGAUGUUAGCGGCGGACGGGUGAGUAACACGUGGAUAACCUACCUAUAAGACUGGGAUAACUUCGGGAAACCGGAGCUAAUACCGGAUAAUAUUUUGAACCGCAUGGUUCAAAAGUGAAAGACGGUCUUGCUGUCACUUAUAGAUGGAUCCGCGCUGCAUUAGCUAGUUGGUAAGGUAACGGCUUACCAAGGCAACGAUGCAUAGCCGACCUGAGAGGGUGAUCGGCCACACUGGAACUGAGACACGGUCCAGACUCCUACGGGAGGCAGCAGUAGGGAAUCUUCCGCAAUGGGCGAAAGCCUGACGGAGCAACGCCGCGUGAGUGAUGAAGGUCUUCGGAUCGUAAAACUCUGUUAUUAGGGAAGAACAUAUGUGUAAGUAACUGUGCACAUCUUGACGGUACCUAAUCAGAAAGCCACGGCUAACUACGUGCCAGCAGCCGCGGUAAUACGUAGGUGGCAAGCGUUAUCCGGAAUUAUUGGGCGUAAAGCGCGCGUAGGCGGUUUUUUAAGUCUGAUGUGAAAGCCCACGGCUCAACCGUGGAGGGUCAUUGGAAACUGGAAAACUUGAGKGCAGAAGAGGAAAGUGGAAUUCCAUGUGUAGCGGUGAAAUGCGCAGAGAUAUGGAGGAACACCAGUGGCGAAGGCGACUUUCUGGUCUGUAACUGACGCUGAUGUGCGAAAGCGUGGGGAUCAAACAGGAUUAGAUACCCUGGUAGUCCACGCCGUAAACGAUGAGUGCUAAGUGUUAGGGGGUUUCCGCCCCUUAGUGCUGCAGCUAACGCAUUAAGCACUCCGCCUGGGGAGUACGACCGCAAGGUUGAAACUCAAAGGAAUUGACGGGGACCCGCACAAGCGGUGGAGCAUGUGGUUUAAUUCGAAGCAACGCGAAGAACCUUACCAAAUCUUGACAUCCUUUGACAACUCUAGAGAUAGAGCCUUCCCCUUCGGGGGACAAAGUGACAGGUGGUGCAUGGUUGUCGUCAGCUCGUGUCGUGAGAUGUUGGGUUAAGUCCCGCAACGAGCGCAACCCUUAAGCUUAGUUGCCAUCAUUAAGUUGGGCACUCUAAGUUGACUGCCGGUGACAAACCGGAGGAAGGUGGGGAUGACGUCAAAUCAUCAUGCCCCUUAUGAUUUGGGCUACACACGUGCUACAAUGGACAAUACAAAGGGCAGCGAAACCGCGAGGUCAAGCAAAUCCCAUAAAGUUGUUCUCAGUUCGGAUUGUAGUCUGCAACUCGACUACAUGAAGCUGGAAUCGCUAGUAAUCGUAGAUCAGCAUGCUACGGUGAAUACGUUCCCGGGUCUUGUACACACCGCCCGUCACACCACGAGAGUUUGUAACACCCGAAGCCGGUGGAGUAACCUUUUAGGAGCUAGCCGUCGAAGGUGGGACAAAUGAUUGGGGUGAAGUCGUAACAAGGUAGCCGUAUCGGAAGGUGCGGCUGGAUCACCUCCUUUCUAA